rnacentral:rRNA from 1 species
UACGUAGGGGGCAAGCGUUGUCCGGAUUUAUUGGGCGUAAAGAGCUCGUAGGCGGUUUGUCGCGUCUGCUGUGAAAACCUAAGGCUCAACCUUGGGCUUGCAGUGGGUACGGGCAGACUAGAGUGCGGUAGGGGUGACUGGAAUUCCUGGUGUAGCGGUGGAAUGCGCAGAUAUCAGGAGGAACACCGAUGGCGAAGGCAGGUCACUGGGCCGCAACUGACGCUGGAGGAGCGAAAGCAUGGGGAGCGAACAGG